GAUGAACGCUAGCUACAGGCUUAACACAUGCAAGUCGAGGGGCAGCAUGAACUUAGCUUGCUAAGUUUGAUGGCGACCGGCGCACGGGUGAGUAACACGUAUCCAACCUGCCGAUGACUCGGGGAUAGCCUUUCGAAAGAAAGAUUAAUACCCGAUGGCAUAGUUCUUCCGCAUGGUAGAACUAUUAAAGAAUUUCGGUCAUCGAUGGGGAUGCGUUCCAUUAGGUUGUUGGCGGGGUAACGGCCCACCAAGCCUUCGAUGGAUAGGGGUUCUGAGAGGAAGGUCCCCCACAUUGGAACUGAGACACGGUCCAAACUCCUACGGGAGGCAGCAGUGAGGAAUAUUGGUCAAUGGACGGGAGUCUGAACCAGCCAAGUAGCGUGCAGGAUGACGGCCCUAUGGGUUGUAAACUGCUUUAUAGGGGGAUAAAGUGUGCCACGUGUGGCAUAUUGCAGGUACCCUAUGAAUAAGGACCGGCUAAUUCCGUGCCAGCCGCCGCCGUAAG
rnacentral:rRNA from 1 species